rnacentral:rRNA from 1 species
UACGAAGGGGCUAGCGUUGCUCGGAAUCACUGGGCGUAAAGGGUGCGUAGGCGGGUCUUUAAGUCAGGGGUGAAAUCCUGGAGCUCAACUCCAGAACUGCCUUUGAUACUGAAGAUCUUGAGUUCGGAGAGGUGAGUGGAACUGCGAGUGUAGAGGUGAAAUUCGUAGAUAUUCGCAAGAACACCAGUGGCGAAGGCGGCUCACUGGCCCGAUACUGACGCUGAGGCA